AACCGCAGAGAAAGAGAGAGGGGCGUGUGUGUGAAAGAGAUGGGCGAACAACAAGAGAAAGGCGGAACGGAAGCGGAGAAUUGCAAUCGACGAGGAGCUUGAGCCAGAAAUAAAGGCAAAAAGCAGCAGAAAAGCGGAAGCUGCUACGUGAAAGCUCGGGAGCCUAGAAAAAAAUUAUUCGAAAUGCCUCUGGGCACGUACAAUCCAUUCAUUCAGCAAAUACCAAUAAUAGACACGUACGGCAAGCGCCGUGCGAGUGGGACGGCCAUCUGGUGUGCGACAGAGACGGGUGUAUGUUCGGGCUGUGUGCGGCGAAGAAAUGAAGGCAUUUGAAAAUGGCACAAAACACAAAAGUCAAUGAAUAAGCAGCCAGUGCAAGUAAAGCAAAUUUGCUAAAGACAAUGGGACUUUCGAGAGGAGUGAAGGGGGAAGGACAAGUGGAUACACCGAAAGAAAGAUUCCAUAAAAGUCAUUUGAAGGUGCCAUUUCAAAUAGAAAAUCAUACGUACAUUCUACUCAUUCAAUUCACUUAAAUACAUAUUUUAGCAGAAACAUUUUUACGAAAUCUAUAAAUAUUCCCUAUUUAAGAAGGAUAUUCAGCGGAAGAGGGCAGGAAGUACGCCCAAGUAUGGAACGAUGCGACACACAUGGCAUAAGAAAACAAUAUGGCAAAACAAUUUAGAUAAGUUCAAACAACUGCCGUUCCGCCCAAGAAGCCCCAUCCCGUCCUCGAUUCCUCGAUGCCCCGUCCGGAAAACGCCUUGGAAUGAAAAUGUUUUUCUUAGCUAGGAAUGCCGGGCCUGCAGGGCGAGAACUAGGAAAAGUGGUGGCAGUGAGCUCCGGCAUAUCUCCCAUUUGACUUUCAUCUUUUCCGCCGUGUGCUGCGAUCGUUAAUCACCGCCAGGGGGUUAAGGCUGGCGCCCAAGGGUUAAGGGGCCCUCCCCGGCGAGGGAAGUGCGUGCCAUCCUGCAAGAUCCCAUCUCGCCGAAACUCGCCCACGUCAUCGUCCCUGGUCCUUCUGUAUAUUUGUCAUGACAUUGCAGUUUUCAAGUGAAGUUCCUAUGGAAUUUUCAUUUUCC